rnacentral:rRNA from 1 species
CCGGAAAAAGAAAAAAAAGGGCUGAAGCUGGCGGCCGCCUUAACAUGCAAGUCGUCAGGUAACAGGUCUUCGGAUGCUGACGAUUCGGCGAACGGGUGAGUAAUACAUCGGAACGUGCCUAGUAGUGGGGGAUAACUACUCGAAAGAGUGGCUAAUACCGCAUGAGAUCUACGGAUGAAAGCAGGGGAGCGCAAGACCUUGUGCUACUAGAGCGGCCGAUGGCAGAUUAGGUAGUUGGUGGGAUAAAAGCUUACCAAGCCGACGAUCUGUAGCUGGUCUGAGAGGACGAUCACCCACACUGGGACUGAGACACGGCCCAGACUCCUACGGGAGGCAGCAGUGGGGAAUUUUGGACAAUGGGCGCAAGCCUGAUCCAGCAAUGCCGCGUGCAGGAUGAAGGCCCUCCCCGUUGUAAACUGCUUUUGUACGGAAAGAAAAGCCCUGGGUUAAUACCCUGGGGUCAUGAAGGGUACCGUAAGAAUAAACCACCGGCUAACUACGUGCCAACCACCCGCGGGUAAA